UAAGUGAUAUGUAAUGCUUUAAUGCCUUUACCUGUGGAACAUGAAAUAUACAAUACUAGUGUAAAGCAAAAAGCAAAACAAAAAUAAAACUGAAUAAAUAAGAGCCCUGUUCACUACAUAAAUUGGUUUAUAAAAUAAAUAAUAUAUCUAUAACAAAUAUAAUAUAAGAACUUAACAAGCCAGUCUAAAAAUUCAGUAUCAAUAUAUGAUAUCUUGAAAAUGUAUAUUUACGAUAUUUUACUAAAACAAAAAGCUGAUUUUCACAAUCUUAUACUCAGAAACAAUAUAUGAUAACUUGAAAUGUAUUUUCACAAUACUUUACUGAAGGAAAAAACAAUGCUAUUUCUUAACAGUAACCUGAUUAAGUUUAAACUGGGCAUAAUUUAAUUUCCUUAUGCACAGUUUAUAAAAGACAGUUUAAGCUGAAUUUGAUAUGAUGGUCACUAACCGUUUAUAAGUUUGAUUUCUAAAUAAAAGACUUGAUAAAAGACAUUUCAGAAAAUCUUCAGCUUUAAAAAAUUUGUGGUAUGAUAUUAUCUUUUUUUUUUUAUCAAUCUAUGGUCUGCUCAAGCAAAAAAGGUAACAAAGUUAAAACGCCUUCAAUGCAUGAUUCUAAAACCAGAUUAUUUUGAUACGGUAGGAUGAAACACCAUUACUAGAAUGCUUUACCAUUUUUUGGUUUCAUUCAGGACUAAAAUUAUAAAUUUGUAAGUCAUUUGAUUCCUUAAAACAAGUAGAACAGAUUAUGAUACCUUCUUUCCCUAUAACAUUUUAAAUAUAAUCUUCUAGUAUGUGCCAAUAGUCUUGUUUGCGAAUUCCCAUUAUUGACCCUGUGGGGAGGGACAUAAUUUUUAUUGACAAUGCAGAGCCAUCACAAAGAGAAAAUUUAUCUGUGCAUAAUUUGUGUAACCUUUAAAUUUUUCAAAACUUUUAGUUAAAUUCUUUAGAAACCAAAGUUUUUUUUUUACUAAAAUUUGUUAAAAACACUGAUAUAUCACUUUCAACUUGUCACAUGAGCAACAUGACAGGUGCCACAUGUGAAGCAGGAUCUGAUUACCCUUCUGGAGCACCUGAGAUCACACAUAUGCAUUAUUGAAAUUUGCAAACAAAUAUAAAACUAAUAGCACUUAUCAAAGUUUCCCUCAUAAGUCAAAUAUUUUACUUCUCAAAAAAAAAAGAUCAAAUCACCCUUACCUGAUGUAAAAAUGUUGCAAAAAGUACAAAUUGUAUGCAGAAAAAGUUAUUUUUGGCUGUACAACUACAGAUUCAAUUCAUGCUUAAGCAAUUUAAAAGUAUGACUGCUUUACCAAACGAUGAUAAUUUAAAUUUGGUGAAGUCAUUCUAAUUUUGAUCCAUGCUAAUUUCAUCCCUCGAUGCACCUCAUUAUAAUAUCAAAUAAGAUAUAAAAAAAUCUUCCAUUUAGAAAACUAUAAUUUAUUACUAUUUGGGAUUAUAAAAUAUGAAUAAAAUUUCCCACAUGUUGUUAAAAUAUCAUUAAAAAAAAUCUAUCCUGUUACAUCAUCACAGCUUGAUAUCAAACAGGAUAAGAAAGGACAAAAGGGUAUAAACGAAAACCCAAAAGUUUAUAAAAAUCAGCAGGGUACCACAGUGUGUCAGUUUAAAAUUAUCAAAUCGGUUAUUUGUAUCAAUAGUGAGCACUAUUGGUAAUCUGAAUUUAGAAAUUGGUUGCUAGCCUUUAAAAUUAGAGUGAUCCACCGAGAUAAAUAGUUUUGAUUAAGUUUAAUACUUUCAUAUAAUAUCACAGCAGGCUCUUUUAUCGGUGGGAGAAAACUGAGUAUCCAUUAAAACCACUGACCCUCCACAAAUGACCGUACCACACUUGAUCCACUAACAAACUAAAGGCAUGCCCACAAGGUGUAGUACAACUAAAAUGUCAGAUCCAGUUCAUACCAAAAAGUGUGAACAAAAUUACCAAAAAAAAAACCCCAACAUAUGAAAAGGCCAUAAACAUGAACAAAAGUAUCCCAUUGAAUUUUUCAAUUAUUUAAACAAUAACCCUAAAAAAAGACAUAAAAAAAGGCAUAAACAAAUAUCUUGAGUGUUUUUAAGCACCUUUCUUUUUAUGAAUUGGUGUUUUCAUAAAAUAUUUUGGAAAUGAGACUAGAUAGACCCUUUACUAUCCUCCUUGUUGCUUUUUUUCUUAUGUCACCUACAUAUUCUGACCAUGCAGCAGAAAUUUUUGAACAAUUCCAAUUUUACAUUUGUACAACAAACAGAUAAACCAAAAUAGCAGACAAUUAAAAGUGAAUAUUCGGUGGUGCAUUAAAUAUUUCGGAAAUGAGACUAGACCCCUUACUACCCUCCUUGUUGCUUUCUUUUUUACUUCACCCACUUAUUCUGACCAUACAGUAGAAAUUUUGGAACAAUUCCAAUUUUACAUUUGUAAAACAAAGAGAUAUCAUAAGAGGCAGACUAUUAAAAGUGCAUGUUUGGUGGUGCAUUAAAUAUUUUGGAAAUGAGACUAGACCACUUACUACCCUCCUUGUUGCUUUCUUUCUUAUGUCACCUACAUAUUCUGACCAUGAAGCAGAAAUUUUGGAACAAUUCCAAUUUUACAUUUGUACAACAAACAGAUAAACCAAAAUGUCAGACCAUUAAAAGUGCAUGUUCGGUGAUGUAUGAAACUUUUAAGUGGCUAAUAAAUAAACACCUCACUUUGAUCAAUGAUAAGGUCAAUACACAACAUAACAACAUAUAUAUUAAAUAUGGAAAUAAUUACAAAAUAUAAAUAAUUUUGUCUGAUAUUGAUAUGCACUUGCAGUUUGUAAUCAUAUCACUUUAAUUGUAGCAAUUUACAUAAUUAAUAAAGUAAGCAAUGAUAAAUUUUACCGGUAUCAUUUCUGAAUAUUGAAGGACUAUACUGAAUAAAUUAUAUAAAAUGAUGACUGUAAUAUUGGCAAUAAAAGGUACAUCUUUAAUAGUUGAAAGCAUUACAUUCUUCAAUGUGUAAUAUGUAAUAAAUUAUGUUAAAGAUGGGUCUAAAUGAUUGGUUAAAAUGAAUGCUCAAACAGUAGAAACACAGCACGUUUAAUUACUUAUUCCUCUUUUGAAGGUAGUUUCAAUACUGUUAUAAUUUUUUCCUUUAAAAUUUUAUCUUCCCUAUGAAGUCUGUGAACUUCAUGUUUAUUUAUGUAUCACAUUUGAUUUUUGAAAAACCUUUAAUUAAACUUGCAAUAAUACAUCUUGGUUUUAUACUGUAAAAUAAGAAAUCAUUGUGAUUUUUCAAGAAUGUACAAAAAAGCGAAUACAAUUAUUGUAAUUUUGAAAAAAUCUGAAUACAGAUCUAUGGUUCAGUUAUCAGAAUGACAGUUUUCACCCAAAUGUAGCAUUUGCACUAUUAAAUAUCUUGCUAUAUUUUCUGAAUUCACAUUAGAAAAUAUGUAGGGGUAAAUUCAGUAAAAUAUCUCUCUAUAUCUUGAAUUAAAUUGAUACCCGAUUUACUUUUAGAAAUUAGACAAUUUCAUAUAUCAUUCAUGAAAGUAUAAAUGUAGCUCUAUUUGUUGCAACAAUAAAAACAUGUGGCAUUUUUAGGCAUUCACAUGGCCUUGUUUACAAACUCUAUAGAUUCACAUUUAAAUCCUUCCAUGACCCCAAUACUUUUCAACCCUGCAGUAAAAAAAAAAUAGUACAAUCAGCAUUUUUUUCCCCCACUCUAGUUUUGAUCCAUCUAUCAAAAAAAUUUAUUACAAACAUUUUCUACCAAUCAGAAGAGCACAUGACUUCAGUUUUAUACAGAAAGCUCUCCCCUCCAAAUGGACUUGGAUAAGGGGAGGUAAACAUCCUGUUUAAGAUGAUCAAUAUUUGACUGGCACAAAUUUUUAAAAAUACUGUAGGUAAAUUGUCUAUCUAUUCUGAUUAUAGGUUAUAUCAUUGUUGACUUUAUCACCCUCUACAUAUAAAUAAAAGUAACCUGCCAACAUUCUUGAGGUAUUGUUGAUUUUUCCCAAAAGAGGGAUGUUUUUUCUCUUUUAAUACCCCCGUUGUAUAAACUUUAUAUCUAAAAACUAUCAUUCAAAGGCUAAAAAAGUCUAAAUAUGCAAAACUAUGGUGAAUUAGAUGUCAACAUGUAAGCCAUGCUAUGAGAUGCAUGAUGCCUUUUGUGCUUCAAAUACCCCAAGAGAUUUUAAGAAUUUGGCAGGUACAAAAUGGUUAUAUUGGUAAUAUUUAAUAUAUCUUUAAAACCCUGUUUAUUAUUGCAAUAUAUUUUGUACAAAGCAGCUUUUCAUAAGCUUUCCUUAUCAAUACUCUCAAUUCAUUGUCAGAUUUUCAUUUGAUUUUAGCCUUCAUCAAAAUGUUCAAUAAAAAAUGUACAUUAUAAAUAGACUGCAUGUCAUUUAUGCAGAAAGUAAAAUUCCACCCUGUAAUUGAUUUCUAAAAGUAAAAUUCCAAGUAGUAAUUGAAUUCUAAAAGUAAAAUUCCACCCAGUAAUUGAAUUCUAAAGUAAAAUUCCACCCAGUAAUUGAAUUCUAAAAGUAAAAUUCCACCCUGUAAUUCAAUUCUAAAAGUAAAAUUCCACCCUGUAAUUCAAUUCUAAAAGUAAAAUUCCACCCUGUAAUUCAAUUCUAAAAGUAAACGAAAAAGCUUGUGCAAUAGUUCUAACCACACCCUAUAUGUCAUUUCAUCUUAAACAAAACGUGCAAUCUAACAAAAAAGCAAAUAAAAAUUCAAAACAAAAAUGUGUAGCACAAUUUUUUGAUGAUCUGAUCUAACACUAAGCACCAUUAUCACAAAAUCAAUUUAAAUAGAUGUAAAUAAUAUAUAUAACAAACAACACAAAAUUACCAUAAACAGUUCUAUUCAGUUUCAUUGAUGCUGAUACACAGGUUCAUUGAUUGUUAGAAGUAAGGGGCAAAGGUCAAAUGAUACACAGAAUAUUGCCCUAACAAUUUUACAGUAAACCAACUUAGUUAAGCACUUUUUUUUGCAUUUAGCCUUUCGGAUAGUUUUAUGGUGAUUUUUUUUCAUGAUCUGCUUUUUAUUUGUUUGUAUAUUCAUAUAAGAGAAGAUACAAGUUUGACAUGUCUGACAUUUAUAGUAUAUAUAUUUGCUUUAUUUUUCUACAUGCAAAAAAUUGUCACCCUUUGUGUGGUAUACAUUAUAUCUACCAACAUUUAACACUGAGGUUAAAUUUUUAUUUUUUUUGGUUAUUAACCAUCUGGUAACUGAAUAGAAUGUCAUUUACAAUUUGAUUAAAAAAAGACAAUAAAAAUCUUUUUGAAACCCUGUUUUCCCUAAACAAAAGCUGUUCACAAUUUUAUUUUAAAGAUAUUUUUUUUCUCACAAAAGUCAUAUAUAGAUUUUUGUAAGCAUUGGUGACAGUGUUUCAAAAGUGGCUAUGUCAUAGGAGGUAGCUAAAACACUGCAUCAAAGAAGAUAACUAGAUUGUAAAAGUUACAUAGCAAAAAUAAAUAAUAUCUAUCUAUUUGAAAUCAUACUUUUUGUAGGAAAUAUUCUGUGAUAAAAAGAUAUAUAGGAAUGCAUCAAGUGGUUCCAAACAUACAAUGUAUCUGGUUCUAGUUUUUAAAAAGAAUUAAUUAAUUCAAAUUACAUUUAAUUAAACUUUUCAGGUACAUUUUCAUUUUAAACCUUAUUGAAAGUUUUUUAAAAGCUAAGUCACAGAAUGUCAAUAACUUAUCAUAUAUUUUACCUAUUUACUUAUUCGAAGAACCUUAUUUCCUAAUUCUGUUAAAAAUUGGACACUCUUUUUAAAAUUUACCUUGGAUUCAUUUAUUUUCGUGGUUACCAAUUUCUUGGACUAAAAAAAAACUGCAUUUAAGAGGAUUAUUUAUAUCAUGGUUUUGCCAAAGUCUGCAUACAAUUCUAAAAAAAAUCCCAGAAUACAGGCAAAUCUUUAAAAAAAAAAUUGUGAUUUACUGGUACCCACCAAGUCUAUAAAAACUGGUACCUAUCAAGUCCAGGAAAAAUGGUACCCACCAAGUCCAGGAAAACUGGUAUGCUAUGAAUCCACAUUAUAUGAAAUUUUAUGGAUUGAUUGUUUUUUGUACCCAUGGAUACAAAGGCUGAACUAUAAGCCUUUGUGUCCAAGGUUACAAAAACAAUCAAAAAUGAACUGUAAGCCUUUGUGUCCAAGGUUACAAAAACAAUCAAUUUAUAGCAAAAAAUACUCAAAAAAGACCAUAUUUUAUAACUGUGAUUAUUUUCAUAAUAUCAGUAUUUUUCUAAUUUUCACAGGAAAAAUUAUCUUUCUUUAAAAUAUCAUUCAACAAAAAUCUAUUCAACAUUACCCAAACAAAUUGAGUAUUCUAAGGAAUGAAUCAAAAGCAAUGUGAGACCUACAACUACUUGCAAUGCUUAACAAAGAUUAUUAAGCAAAAUAUAGAGUAAAGGGACAUAACCCUUGUAAUUUUCUUUCAGCAGCAGUGCUAAUUUUCAUUUCAGCAAAUAAUUUUUAAGAAGCAUAUGUACAUGAACGGCAUAUUUUGAGCACAUACAUUUGCAAUGCAACACAGAUUUUCCCCUUUACCAACCAUGGUUAAAAUGUUACAAUAGCCUGUUGUGUUCUAAUUACUGACCUCUGUUGUUAAAAAUUCUUCAAUAUGAGGUUAGGAAGAACUGCUGUAUAAAAUUUUAGUUUUUUUUUAUUCACUGAUGAGAUAUAAGUUUACAGAAAGGCAUUAGAACUAGAUUUACUCCCAUUACAAAUAUUAAAGCAAAUGUCUAUUUAAAUUAAACCAAUUUAGAGAGUUGAAAUCAAUGCAUUAAAAAUGUAAUUAACUUAAUAAAAAUAAACAAAAUAUAAUUAGUUCUUUGCAUAAUUUGAA
rnacentral:lncRNA from 1 species